CAGGUACACAGGUGAUAGCUUGAACAUUGUGUUCAAGAGGAAAGUCCGGGCUGCUGUAGGACACGGUUCCAUCUAACGGAUGGCCAUGGUAACAUGAGGGACAGUGCAACAGAGAGUAGACCGCCUUGAGAGAGGUGAGGGUGAAACGGCGGGGUAAGAGCCCACCAGUUCUCUGAGUAAUCAGAGAAGCUAUGUAAACCCAACCGCGCAGCAAGAAACAGAUGGUUAGCGUCCUACAUCGCUAUUGUUUCGCUAGAGGCCUUGAGUGAUCAAGGCAGUAGAUUAAUUAUCACUAAUCCAGAACCCGGCUUAUUCGUGUACCUACCUC
rnacentral:RNase_P_RNA from 1 species